rnacentral:rRNA from 1 species
UUUGUUACUUCAAACCAAUCGGACUUCGGUCUGACAUCAAGUGAUAUUGAACAAUUUAGCUGAUCGCACGGUCUAACAACCGGCRACAUAUCCUUCAAAUGUCUGCCUUAUCAACUUUCKAUGGUAGAUUAUGCGCCUACCAUGGUUGUAACGGGUAACGGASAAUCAGGGUUUGAUUCCGGAGAGGGAGCCUGAGAAACGGCUACCACAUCCAAGGAAGGCAGCAGGCACGCAAAUUACCCACUCCCGGCACGGGGAGGUARUGACGAAAAAUAACAAGCUGGUCUCAAUGAGUUCCRGCRUUGYAAUGGGAACAAUUUAAAUCUUUCAUCSAGGAUCUAUUGGAGGGCAAGUCUGGUGGCMGCRKCCSCGGUAAUUCCAGCUCCMAUASCSYAUAUUAAARUUGUUGCGGUUAAAAAGCUCRWAAUUGGAUCUWKGAAUAKGGCUACRGKCGUUCAKCUUGGACGUACUGUAUGGCCGACUCCUUUUCUCYAGUAUUCKAUUGUUGCUCUUAAAUGAGUGACUUUAGUUGCUGGAACUUUUACCUUGAAAAAAUUGAARUGCUCAAAGCAUGUU